rnacentral:rRNA from 1 species
UGCUCAGGACGAACGCUGGCGGCGUGCCUAAUACAUGCAAGUCGAGCGGACAGAAGGGAGCUUGCUCCCGGAUGUUAGCGGCGGACGGGUGAGUAACACGUGGGUAACCUGCCUGUAAGACUGGGAUAACUCCGGGAAACCGGAGCUAAUACCGGAUAGUUCCUUGAACCGCAUGGUUCAAGGAUGAAAGACGGUUUCGGCUGUCACUUACAGAUGGACCCGCGGCGCAUUAGCUAGUUGGUGGGGUAAUGGCUCACCAAGGCGACGAUGCGUAGCCGACCUGAGAGGGUGAUCGGCCACACUGGGACUGAGACACGGCCCAGACUCCUACGGGAGGCAGCAGUAGGGAAUCUUCCGCAAUGGACGAAAGUCUGACGGAGCAACGCCGCGUGAGUGAUGAAGGUUUUCGGAUCGUAAAGCUCUGUUGUUAGGGAAGAACAAGUGCGAGAGUAACUGCUCGCACCUUGACGGUACCUAACCAGAAAGCCACGGCUAACUACGUGCCAGCAGCCGCGGUAAUACGUAGGUGGCAAGCGUUGUCCGGAAUUAUUGGGCGUAAAGGGCUCGCAGGCGGUUUCUUAAGUCUGAUGUGAAAGCCCCCGGCUCAACCGGGGAGGGUCAUUGGAAACUGGGAAACUUGAGUGCAGAAGAGGAGAGUGGAAUUCCACGUGUAGCGGUGAAAUGCGUAGAGAUGUGGAGGAACACCAGUGGCGAAGGCGACUCUCUGGUCUGUAACUGACGCUGAGGAGCGAAAGCGUGGGGAGCGAACAGGAUUAGAUACCCUGGUAGUCCACGCCGUAAACGAUGAGUGCUAAGUGUUAGGGGG